rnacentral:tRNA from 1 species
GUGGUUGUGGCUCAGGGGUAGAGUGCUCAACUAGCACAUGCAAAGCCCUGGGUUUGACCCCCAGCACCACA